rnacentral:rRNA from 1 species
GGAGGAAGGUGGGGAUGACGUCAAAUCAUCAUGCCCCUUAUGACCUGGGCUACACACGUGCUACAAUGGGCGGUACAAAGGGUCGCGAACCCGCGAGGGGGAGCCAAUCCCAAAAAGCCGCUCUCAGUUCGGAUUGCAGGCUGCAACUCGCCUGCAUGAAGCCGGAAUCGCUGGUAAUCGCGGAUCAGCAUGCCCGCGGUCGAAUACGUUCCCGGGCCUU